CGCAUAAGCGCACGGGACCGCAUGGUCCAGUGUGAAAAACUCCGGUGGUACAGGAUGGUCCCGCGUCUGAUUAGCCAGUUGGCGGGGUAACGGCCCACCAAAGCGACGAUCAGUAGCCGGCCUGAGAGGGUGGACGGCCACAUUGGGACUGAGACACGGCCCAAACUCCUACGGGAGGCAGCAGUGGGGAAUAUUGCACAAUGGGGGAAACCCUGAUGCAGCGACGCCGCGUGAGUGAAGAAGUAUUUCGGUAUGUAAAGCUCUAUCAGCAGGGAAGAAGAUGACGGUACCUGAGUAAGAAGCCCCGGCUAACUACGUGCCAGCAGCCGCGGUAAUACGUAGGGGGCAAGCGUUAUCCGGAUUUACUGGGUGUAAAGGGAGCGUAGACGGUGAAGCAAGUCUGGAGUGAAAACCCGGGGCUUAACCCCGGGAUUGCUUUGGAAACUGUUUAACUGGAGUGCAGGAGAGGUAAGCGGAAUUCCUAGUGUAGCGGUGAAAUGCGUAGAUAUUAGGAGGAACACCAGUGGCGAAGGCGGCUUACUGGACUGUAACUGACGUUGAGGCUCGAAAGCGUGGGGAGCAAACAGGAUUAGAUACCCUGGUAGUCCACGCGGUAAACGAUGAUUACUAGGUGUAGGUGGGUAUGGACCCAUCGGUGCCGCAGCUAACGCAGUAA
rnacentral:rRNA from 1 species